CCUACGGGUGGCUGCAGUGGGGAAUUUUGGACAAUGGGCGCAAGCCUGAUCCAGCCAUGCCGCGUGAGUGAAGAAGGCCUUCGGGUUGUAAAGCUCUUUCAGGUGGAAAGAAAUCGCACUUUCUAAUACAAGGUGUGGAUGACGGUACCAUCAGAAGAAGCACCGGCUAACUACGUGCCAGCAGCCGCGGUAAUACGUAGGGUGCGAGCGUUAAUCGGAAUUACUGGGCGUAAAGCGUGCGCAGGCGGUUAUGUAAGACAGAUGUGAAAUCCCCG
rnacentral:rRNA from 1 species